rnacentral:misc_RNA from 1 species
ACUUUUGAUAAACAUCUAUUUAUAAUAUAUCGUCAUUUCAAUUCUUGAUAAUUUAAUUAUUCUUUAAAUAGUAUCUAUUACAUGAAUUAACUACAAAUAUUUUAUUGAAAUGAAAUAUUUCGAGGAAUUUUUACGACGUGUGAAAAGAAAGAAAAUCAUAGAAACAAAUACACCUUCUCAGUUGAAGAAAUGUCUAAGAUUGUUUGAUUUAACAGCACUAGGUGUUGGAAGCACACUUGGUGUAGGAAUAUACAUUCUAUCUGGACAAAUAUCUAAAACAGAGGCCGGUCCUGGUGUAGUAAUAUCAUUUUUGAUUGCAGCCAUUGCAUCAUUUUUUUCAGGUCUUUCAUAUGCAGAAUUUGGAGCACGAGUACCCAAGGCAGGAUCUGCUUAUAUUUAUAGUUAUGUAUGUGUUGGAGAAUUUAUAGCUUUCAUAAUUGGAUGGAGUAUGUUAUUAUCAUAUGGAAUAGGGGCAUCAUCUGUAGCAAAGGGGUUUACUAAAAAUUUGAACUCAAUAACCAAUGGUAAAGUUGAAGUUUUUCUAGAGAAUUUUCCAUUGGUAACUGGUGAAAUUUUUGAAAAAAACUUAGACAUUAUAUCCUUUUUGUUAAUUAUGGUUCUAACGAUCAUAUUAGCCCUUGGAGUCAAAGAAUCUACAAUAAUUAAUAAUUUGCUUACAACUGUUAACAUAGCUAUUGUUUUGUUUGUUUUCAUUGCCGGAGGAAUCAAUGUAAAUUUUGAAAAUUGGAACAUAUCAAUGGAGGAAUUAAAAAAUAACUACACCAAUGACUGUCCUUUAUGUACUGAAGAAAAUAAUUGUGUGAGUGAGGAAUAUGAUACAGUCUGUGGAUCUGGAGGUUUCUUUCCAUAUGGUUUUUCAGGAAUAAUAAAAGGAGCUGGAACUGCUUUCUAUGGAUUCGUUGGAUUUGAUGUUAUUGCUACUCUAGGCGAAGAGGUCAUAAAUCCAAAGCGCGAUAUUCCACUCUCUAUCAUACUUGCACUUUUGUGUGUUUUCAUUUCAUAUUUUGGAGUAUCCAGUAUUGUAACCCUAUGUCUUCCAUAUUUCAUGCAAGAUUCCGAUGCUCCUUUACCAAAAGUAUUUGAAUCUAUUGGUUUAAAUUGGGCUGUCAUUAUAAUACAAAUAGGGGCAUUUUUUGGCUUAUUUGCUAGUCUCAUUGGAGCAUUGAUUCCUUUACCUAGAGUAAUUUGGGCAAUGGCAAGUGAUGGUCUUGUUUUUAAAUUUUUAUCCAAAGUGCAUCUUAAGUUUCAAACACCAAUUUAUGCUACAUUGAUAUCAGGGAGUAUCGCUGCCAUUAUGGCUGCGAUUUUUAAUCUACAAUCACUUGUAGAUCUUAUGUCUAUUGGAACCCUAUUGGGUUAUACUAUGGUGUCGACGUGCAUUCUUAUUUUAAGUCUAUCAUCUUGUACACAUCCCAUCUUCAUCCACAACGUUUUUACAUUACAAUUAAAUCUUGAUUAAAUGUUUUUUCCUGUUCAUCCCUUACAUCACCAAGAUUAUCAGGAAAGCUUGCAAGAUGGCAAUGUAAAAAAUAAAAUAUUUACCAUCUAAAGAAGAUAUUUCAAACUGUUCCAGUACCAAUGAUACUAAGUUGAUUGCAUUGAAAACUAUUUUUAAUACACAAGGUAUUAAAAUUCCGUCGUACAAAUCGGCAAAAGUUGCAGAAUUUGUUACAUGGACUCAUGGUAUCUUAUGUAUCAUCAUUAGUGCAAUUUUGACUACUUAUACUUAUAACGUAAUAUAUGUCACUAUUAUUGUGAUAUCCUUGAUAGGGGAA